GCCAGCAUGGGGUAGUGGUUUGAAUGCUGGACUUUGAAUCCGGAGGCCAGGGUUUGAAUCCAAGGCUAACA